rnacentral:lncRNA from 1 species
ACGACUACGCCUCACUAACAAUUACACUCACAAUACAGAUUCUCCCACAUAGCACAAUACACACACCAUACACGACACUCAAUAUACAGUGAAAUACCAGCCAUACACCCAUACACCAUCGGAAACACUCAACACUCACAGAAGGACAAAUGACAGAAAAUAGAGAAAUAGCAAAAAAACUAAUCCAAAAAUGAAGGAAAUCCGAUGGGUGAACAAAAAUUGAGAGUAAGAGAAAAUCUAAUGCCUGUUGACUGUGUCCUAUGAUUUUCUUUCCUGAAAUCCACCAUAUUUUCCACCAGGAAAUGUCUCUGGUUGUACUCGCUCUUAUUCCGGCAAAACCCGUCGGUAGAUGGUGUUACCAGCUCAUCUCUCUAUCUUGAGUUUUCUUAUUAUUCUCAUCUUUUUAUCCUACCUCUUCUCCAAGGUUAUAAAAUUUCCCUUCCCUAAGGAUCAUAUUUUUCUAGUUGGGACAUUCACUUACCUUUUGUUCCCAUCCUUGACAUUUAAAACAUUGAAAACCUUUAGGAUUGGGAGUAGGAUAUUUGUUACCUUCAUUCUUUAGUGGGUACUUUGGAGUAAUAUUCUCUGCAGGCUUCUUGUAAUUGGCCUUGUAGUCCUUUUUCUUGUUCCACCCUGAUAAUGAUUACGUUACCUUUUUACUCUUACUCCAAGAUUGGUAGAUGAGUGCCCUUUUGGUUUGUAAGUUUUCCUUUCAUUGAUGUCCCUCUCAAUAUCCUAGACCACUUGGAAGAUUUCUUCUAUGGUCUCAAACUUGGGUAUAGUCAUGUAUGAGGAGAUAUCUUUGAUCAAUCCAAACUUGAAGCGUAUGAUGUCAAUGUUCACGUUCUCUUAAUGGUCAAGCUUCAAGAUCAAUUGCUGUAAUUCAUCAUCAUAAGAGGUCAUAACACUCUUGCUAUCUUGUCUUAGUUGUACAACUUGAAAAGUAUCUCAUGUCUAUACCUCUUUUAAACAUACCAUUGUCUCAUGAAUACCUUCAAUUUAUCCCAUGGAGGGGGUUUUCCUUCAUUCAAGACAUCUCCAAAUCACGUAUACCAUAGAGGGGAUUUUCCUUCCUUCAACACAUUUCCAAAUCUCUUGGCAUAAUCCCUCAAUGUAUUGUAAUACCCUUCAAAAUUGGCUAUGGAAUAGAAAAUCUUCUUCUCUUUGGUGAUAUCAUUAAUAUAAAAGAUCCUUUUAUAAGAGAACUCCCAUAAGAGAUAAGCUUCGGGAUCACCUUUGUCUUUGAAAGUUGGAAGACUAACCUUGAUUGAAUGAUACCCAUAUCUUGAUCCCUAUUACCUUGUUGGUUCCAUUGAUCAUAACCUUUUGGUCGGCUUUCUAGUUUUCUCUACCGCACCGGACCAAAUCUUCCUCCUCUAUCCUUAUAAUCUCUUUGAUCCAUUUGUCUACCUUUUAUUUCCUCAAACAAUAUGUUAGCUUCGUCGAAUACUCCAAACACUACUUAUUGUUCUUCACUUUAUUCCUUGUUUAUUUGGAUGGGUUGGUUUUGGCUAAGGGUUGAUUGGAAAGGAGGAAUUUGGUAUAGUGAAGGUUGGGUUAUUUAGGUUCAAUAUUCAUUAUGUCGUGUUUGAUUGAAUUGAGGUUAGAGUGAUCGAACGGGAUAUUGGUUAUGUUGAUAUAGUG